rnacentral:tRNA from 1 species
GUGGGAUUGUGGCUCAGCUGUAGAGCAGUCACCUAGCACAUGUGAGGUCCUGGGUUCGAUCCUCAGCACCACA